GUCGAACGGGCUCUUCGGAGCUAGUGGCGGACGGGUGAGUAACGCGUGAGAAUCUGCCUUCAGGUCUGGGACAACAGAAGGAAACUUCUGCUAAUCCCGGAUGAGCCCUUGGGUAAAAGAUAAAUUGCCUGGAGAUGAGCUCGCGUCUGAUUAGCUAGUUGGUGUGAUAAAAGCAUACCAAGGCGACGAUCAGUAGCUGGUCUGAGAGGAUGAGCAGCCACACUGGGACUGAGACACGGCCCAGACUCCUACGGGAGGCAGCAGUGGGGAAUUUUCCGCAAUGGGCGAAAGCCUGACGGAGCAAGACCGCGUGGGGGAGGAAAGCUCUAGGGUUGUAAACCCCUUUUCUUUGGGAAGAAGUACUGACGGUACCAAAGGAAUCAGCCUCGGCUAACUCCGUGCCAGCAGCCGCGGUAAUACGGAGGAGGCAAGCGUUAUCCGGAAUGAUUGGGCG
rnacentral:rRNA from 1 species